rnacentral:rRNA from 1 species
UACGUAGGGUGCGAGCGUUGUCCGGAAUUAUUGGGCGUAAAGAGCUUGUAGGCGGUUUGUCGCGUCUGCUGUGAAAAUCCGGGGCUCAACCCCGGACUUGCAGUGGGUACGGGCAGACUAGAGUGUGGUAGGGGAGACUGGAAUUCCUGGUGUAGCGGUGAAAUGCGCAGAUAUCAGGAGGAACACCGGUGGCGAAGGCGGGUCUCUGGGCCGAUAUUGACGCUGAGGAGCGAAAGCGUGGGGAGCGAACAGG